UACGGAGGGGACUAGCGUUGUUCGGAAUUACUGGGCGUAAAGCGCACGUAGGCGGAUUUGUAAGUCAGGGGUGAAAUCCCGGGGCUCAACCUCGGAACUGCCUUUGAUACUGCAAAUCUCGAGUCCGGAAGAGGUGAGUGGAAUUCCUAGUGUAGAGGUGAAAUUCGUAGAUAUUAGGAAGAACACCAGUGGCGAAGGCGGCUCACUGGGCCGUAACUGACGCUGAGGAGCGAAAGCGUGGGUAGCAAACAGG
rnacentral:rRNA from 1 species